UAAUUUUGAUUAGGUUGCUUAGUGAUUUGAGUUCACCCAUGCUAUCUAGAUUAGUCAGUCUUAUGGAUGGGCUGACUAAUUAAGGUGUAACCUUAAUAUGUUUGUCUUCUUAAAUGAAUUAGGAAAGUCAGUAGGAGGAUCUUAUGUAAUAAAUUGAAACUCGCAUAUAAUAAAUUUUUUAAAUUAUUAGAUCCUUAAAAUGAGAUAGUGAUAGGAAUAACUAGAUCAUAGCCUCCCAUUAAGGUGGAUGAUAAUCAAUCCAAUAGUCUGGAUA
rnacentral:lncRNA from 1 species